rnacentral:rRNA from 1 species
GACGAACGCUGGCGGCGUGCUUAACACAUGCAAGUCGAACGGAAAGGCCCUGCUUUUGUGGGGUGCUCGAGUGGCGAACGGGUGAGUAACACGUGAGUAACCUGCCCUUGACUUUGGGAUAACUUCAGGAAACUGGGGCUAAUACCGGAUAGGAGCUCCUGCUGCAUGGUGGGGGUUGGAAAGUUUCGGCGGUUGGGGAUGGACUCGCGGCUUAUCAGCUUGUUGGUGGGGUAGUGGCUUACCAAGGCUUUGACGGGUAGCCGGCCUGAGAGGGUGACCGGCCACAUUGGGACCGAGAUACGGCCCAGACUCCUACGGGAGGCAGCAGUGGGGAAUAUUGCACAAUGGGCGGAAGCCUGAUGCGGCAACGCCGCGUGCGGGAUGACGGCCUUCGGGUUGUAAACCGCUUUCGCCUGUGACGAAGCGUGAGUGACGGUAAUGGGUAAAGAAGCACCGGCUAACUACGUG